UUAUCGGUAUGAGAUGGCGAUGCGUCCCAUUAGCUUGUUGGCGGGGUAACGGCCCACCAAGGCAUCGAUGGGUAGGGGUUCUGAGAGGAAGGUCCCCCACAUUGGAACUGAGACACGGUCCAAACUCCUACGGGAGGCAGCAGUGAGGAAUAUUGGUCAAUGGGCGGAAGCCUGAACCAGCCAAGUAGCGUGCAGGAAGACGGCCCUCCGGGUUGUAAACUGCUUUUAGUUGGGAAUAAAACGGGGCUCGUGAGCCCCCUUGCAUGUACCAUCAGAAAAAGGACCGGCUAAUUCCGUGCCAGCAGCCGCGGUAAUACGGAAGGUCCGGGCGUUAUCCGGAUUUAUUGGGUUUAAAGGGAGCGCAGGCGGACCUUUAAGUCAGCUGUGAAAUACGGCGGCUCAACCGUCGAACUGCAGUUGAUACUGGAGGUCUUGAGUGCACACAGGGAUGCUGGAAUUCAUGGUGUAGCGGUGAAAUGCUCAGAUAUCAUGAAGAACUCCGAUCGCGAAGGCAGGCAUCCGGGGUGCAACUGACGCUGAGGCUCGAAAGUGCGGGUAUCAAACAGGAUUAGAUACCCUGGUAGUCCGCACAGUAAACGAUGAAUACUCGCGGUUUGCGAUACAGUGUAAGCCGCCAAGCGAAAGCGUUAAGUAUUCCACCUGGGGAGUAC
rnacentral:rRNA from 1 species